UACGGAGGGUGCAAGCGUUGUUCGGAAUUACUGGGCGUAAAGCGCGUGUAGGCGGCCCUGUAAGUCAGAUGUGAAAGCCCUCGGCUUAACCGGGGAAGUGCAUCUGAAACUGCUUGGCUUGAGUACCGGAGAGGGAGGCGGAAUUCCCAGUGUAGAGGUGAAAUUCGUAGAUAUUGGGAGGAACACCGGUGGCGAAAGCGGCCUCCUGGACGGAUACUGACGCUGAGACGCGAAAGCGUGGGGAGCAAACAGG
rnacentral:rRNA from 1 species